UACGUAGGGUGCAAGCGUUGUCCGGAAUUAUUGGGCGUAAAGAGCUCGUAGGCGGUUUGUUGCGUCGGCUGUGAAAUCCCGAGGCUCAACCUCGGGUCUGCAGUCGAUACGAGCAAACUAGAGUGUUGCAGGGGAGACUGGAAUUCCUGGUGUAGCGGUGAAAUGCGCAGAUAUCAGGAGGAACACCGGUGGCGAAGGCGGGGUCUCUGGGCAACAACUGACGCUGGAGGAGC
rnacentral:rRNA from 1 species